rnacentral:lncRNA from 1 species
AGGUAAGGUGAAGGAAGUGGUUGAUGAGUGCAUAUCUAUGCCCACAUUUAUGCUUUAAAAUUAAAAUUUUUGAUGAUCCAUGUGCUUAAAUGAUUGAUUUAAAGUGAAUUUGUGACGAUUGGAUUUAUUGGGUUUGAGAAUUAAAGAGACGAAAAAAGUGAGUUUUAGAGCAUAAAUUAUUCUUGGAUGUCAUAAUGUUUGUUGAUGCAGCUGAAUUUAGAAUUUAAUUGAUUCAAAAGUUGGAGAAAAGUGGCACAAAUUGCAAAUUGAGGCCUAAAAUAAGAUUUUGUUUGAAAAAUAAUAUACAAAUAGGGCAAAUAGGCAACCUUUAUCCUUGCACCCUCCUAUUUCCCUACACACACCUCUCCUAAAUUAGACUUCAUCAGAUUCUUCCGUGUGGCAGUCCACCACUAACACAGAUAGUCAACCAUAUUUUACCACAUCAUAACCCCUUGCCACGUCACCAUCUUUUUCAAGCUUCAACCCAAACAAAAAUUGAAACCUUAAUUUCUUAGGUCGCCGCCACCAUGAAACUGCGCUUCUAAUGGCCACUAUCACCGUCCAUCCCGCGCUAGCAAGGCCGCCACCAUCAAACCCUACCAGACA